GUCUAUGGCCAUACCGCCCUGAAUGCACCCAAUUUUGUCUGAUUUCAGAAGCUAAGCAGGGUUGGGCCUGAUUAGUACUUGGAUAGGAGGAACCAAAAAGUUGAUAACA
rnacentral:rRNA from 1 species